rnacentral:lncRNA from 1 species
UGUAUAUCUACUCAUCAGAAGUCCAACAAAAUUGAAUUUUUCAUUUUAUGAUUUUUCUGUAAUUUAUUAUGAUUUUUCAAAGAUUCAGCGAAAAUAAAUAAAAAAGAAAAAGACAAAACCACACUCUAAAACCACUUUAGGGGGUUAUUUGACCGGUUUUGAAAGUUCAGGGGGUAGAAUAUCUGGUUUUAUACUUUGGGGGAUGAAGUAUUCCACAUUAGAUAGUUUGGGGGGUUAUGUAGACUUUUUCCAUAAAUAAAACACUUAAAACAAAAAAGAAUAAAUAAGAAAAGCAAAUAAAAACUUACUUGAUAAAUUGGGGAGGAACCCCC